ACGAACGCUGGCGGCGUGCUUCACACAUGCCAGUCGCACGGAAAGGCCCUGCUUUUGUGGGGUGCUCGAGUGGCGAACGGGUGAGUAACACGUGAGUAACCUGCCCUUGACUUUGGGAUAACUUCAGGAAACUGGGGCUAAUACCGGAUAGGAGCUCCUGCUGCAUGGUGGGGGUUGGAAAGUUUCGGCGGUUGGGGAUGGACUCGCGGCUUAUCAGCUUGUUGGUGGGGUAGUGGCUUACCAAGGCUUUGACGGGUAGCCGGCCUGAGAGGGUGACCGGCCACAUUGGGACUGAGAUACGGCCCAGACUCCUACGGGAGGCAGCAGUGGGGAAUAUUGCACAAUGGGCGGAAGCCUGAAGCAGCAACGCCGCGUGCGGGAUGACGGCCUUCGGGUUGUAAACCGCUUUCGCCUGUGACGAAGCGUGAGUGACGGUAAUGGGUAAAGAAGCACCGGCUAACUACGUG
rnacentral:rRNA from 1 species